AUUGAACGCUGGCGGCAUGCCUUACACAUGCAAGUCGAACGGCAGCACGGGCUUCGGUCUGGUGGCGAGUGGCGAACGGGUGAGUAAUGUAUCGGAACGUACCCUUCAGUGGGGGAUAACUAUCCGAAAGGAUAGCUAAUACCGCAUAUUCUCUGAGGAAGAAAGCGGGGGAUCGCAAGACCUCGCGCUGAUGGAGCGGCCGAUAUCAGAUUAGCUAGUUGGUGGGGUAAAGGCCUACCAAGGCGACGAUCUGUAGCGGGUCUGAGAGGAUGAUCCGCCACACUGGGACUGAGACACGGCCCAGACUCCUACGGGAGGCAGCAGUGGGGAAUUUUGGACAAUGGGGGCAACCCUGAUCCAGCCAUGCCGCGUGAGUGAAGAAGGCCUUCGGGUUGUAAAGCUCUUUCGGCCGGGAAGAAAUCGCGUGAGUUAAUACCUUGCGUGGAUGACGGUACCGGAAUAAGAAGCACCGGCUAACUACGUGCCAGCCGCCGCGGUAAGAC
rnacentral:rRNA from 1 species